GUGUUAGUCUAACUUGGUUGUAUGGGGUCUACAUUGACCUUCUGUGUUGUAAGUUACAAUGAUUGCACAGCCAUUAAGGAUCAAAUCAGCUUCUAAAAAUGUUCUUUUUUUCUCCUCUGCUUGCUUCUUACUGUCUUUGAGGCUCGGGACCAGCACUCCUGCUGUUGGACAGAAAGACAUCAACUCAGUGACUUGAGAUAUGACUGCACUAUGCUGUUGCUGUUGACUCCAGUUAAUUCUACAAGACAUGCUGUGACACCAGGAGAGAUGAGUCCUCCGUCACAGAUGGUGUGGUCAGUGAAGAUGGUCGCCUGCAGGUUCAAGCUCAUUGCAUCUCCAACCCACAUCCACUGCCACUGUACUUAAGGGAAGUUAAAGACUUUCUUCUGCAUUUACAUUUGGAUCACCUCGAUCCAUGACAGUCAUUCAGGCAGUAAUGCCUGGACUGGAAACAAGCCAUCCUUAAAAUAUUACAACAUUCCAGCUCAUGUGUUUGAAUGCAAAACAAAUGUGUUGUUUAAAUUAGAGACUGCACUUGUGACAGAACAAUAAAUAUAUUUUAUUUUGAUUAUAUAAGUAAUGUAAGUACAAAACAAACUGUGAUAGACCUAAACUUAUUUUCAGAAUAAUUAAAUCUGAGACUUUGUUUCAUUGUAAGAUUAUAAUUGUUUGUUGUUCAGCAGAACAGUGUCCAGUAUGUUGGCUGUUAUACUUUGUUGUGUUUGAAAAUAAAAGUUG
ensembl:lncRNA